UUGUAGCUCAGUUUUCUAAUCAUAAAAUGAAUACCUCAUAAGGUUGUUGGGUGGACCAAGAGAUUUAGUGUAAAUAAAUUACUUAGCUCAAUGCCUAGCAGAUAAAUCUGAACUCAAUAGAUAUUGGUCACAAGUAUCUCACUUAAGACUCAUAAAUGAUACUAUCAUCAUCUCCAUUUUAUGGACAAGUAAUCUGAAACUUGGAGAGUUUAAAUAACUUGUGAGAGGCCACACAUAGCCAGUAACUGAAAUACUAAUACUAUGGCCCCUAGGAUCUGCCUUCCCAAAUAUCCAUACAAUCCACAAAUUUUAAUUAAGAUGCUAGUCUCCUAUUGUAUUAGACUAAAGACUAUGUUUUCCAGCUAGGUUUAGUCACAUGACCACCUUCUUACCAAUAGGAUGCAAGCAAAAAGUGUUGCAUGGCAGCUUCCAGAGAUAGUCCUAAGCAGAUGGAUGGGAAAUGGAUAUUCAACUUCUGAAUUAUCAGACUGUUACACAGACCAACUGGCCCACUGAGAAUAACUGGAAGAACUGAACAACAUGUAAAAUAAAUCAACUUGAGAGCAUUGGAAAGCAAUAAAAUGUUCAGGGCCAAGGGGGAACCCUGGAGAGAUGAACCCAUCAUAUGAGGACAGUUUCCCCAGGACCAUCUACCAACUUAAGGAGAGAAACAGAGAGGUUGAGCAGGGCAGCUGCCACUCUCACCAAAUAGGCAAAACUUCAAGUACUGCCAAGCUGAAGGGGCUCCCAGGAAGCUCCCUCUCACUUUACUUUGGGACUCUUAAAGAGUGUAGAUGAAGGGAAAAUUAGGGACAUUUUCAGUUAAAAAAAAUACUGAUAAAAAUUGUUAACAGCUGACCCAAACAAAAGGAAACACUAAAGCAUAUGACAGAAGGAAAAUCAUGGCAGGUGGAAGCUUGGUGACACAGGCAAGAGUAAAAAACAAAUGAAAGGAUAACACAUGGGCAAAUCUAAAAGCAUAGUAACUAUGUGAAAUAAUAAAAAUACAGUCUUAUUUGGUUUUUAAAUACAUAAAUCAAAUUAAAAUACACAAAAACAGAAGCAUUCAAAUAAAUGAGUAAUGGAAUUAAGUGUUUUAAGGUCCAGGCAUUGUCUGGGAAGACAUGAAAGAACAAUUAAUAUUGGACUUUGAUAAAUCAAGAAUCAUGCUGCAAUCUCUAGGGUAACCAUUAAAGGAGUAGUAAAAGACAGUUAGUAUCAAGAUAAUGGAGAGAAAAUUGGCAUGUAGUUGCUCCAUUUAGGCAGGUUUCAUAAUGUGUAUGUAGUUGCUAUUUGUCAUGUAUCUGACAACUUUUCUUUGGCAUUCUGUUUUUAUUUGACUGUGAUUUUGAUGUUGUGUAGUUAAAAGCUAAGGAUAGAGGUAAAACAAUUCUCUCAAAACAAAUUAAGGUACAACUCAAACUGAAAGAGGCUUUCACUUUAGGAAAAGUAUCUUUUCUGAAUUUGAAUACUUCUGUUAUGAGUUAAAUUGUGUCCCCUAAAAAGAAUGAGUUAAGUCCUAACUCCUGUACUUUAGAGUAAAACCUUAUUCAGAAACAGUAUCAUUGAAGGUGUAAUUACUCAA
rnacentral:lncRNA from 1 species